UAAUGGUUGAGUUUGGUGAUGGCUCUGAUUGAAUGCUGUUCAAGUGCUUGACACAUGCUAAUCGUACGUUUUAAUUUCUAACAUUAAGUAACUACUAUACUAAAGGUUAUUAAUUAAAAAGUGGUGUACAGGUGAGUAUAAAGAUAUAAUUCGCCGGCCUUAAAGAGAAGGUAAAUCCUUCAUAAUAAAUAAAAGGGUACAGUUCCUGCUUUAAGAGGAUGAUAAAUAUCUUCGGGAUAGGUAGUAGUUAAGGUGAUGACUUAACUAGCCGACAACUCUCGUAGUCGAAUCUGAAAGGUUGAUCGACCACAUUGGGUCUGAAAAAACCCCAAUGCAAAUUAGUACAGCAGUGAGGAAUUUUGGUCAAUGGCCUAACGGCUGAACUGGCAACUUGGAGAAGUGGCAAGUCCUAUUUUGAUCAUAUCCUAAAAGAUGAUCUAUAGGAUUGUAUUAAAAUUGAAUAAAGCUUUGUUUAUAUAUUGAUAAUGACAGUAUAUAUAUCGUGUCUUGACUAAUUACGUGCCAGCAGUCGCGGAAAUACGUAAGAGACUAGUAUUAUUCAUCUUAAUUGGGUUUAAAGGGUACCUAGACGGUCAAUAUAGCUUAUAUAAUGUUAGUACUUGACUAGAGUUUUAUAUGAGAGGGGAGUACUUGAGGAGGAGAGAUGAAAUUCUUUGAUACCAAAGGGACUCGGUAAAGGCGAAGGCACCCCUUUAGGUAAAAACUGACGUUGAGGGACGAAGGCACAGAGAACAAACAGGAUUAGAUACCCAAGUAGUCUUUGCAGUAAAUGAUGAAUGCCAUAGAUUAGAUGAAGAAUUUAAUAACUUAGUUCGUCAGUAAACAAUUAAUAUUAAAUCUUGUUUGGUCUAUAAAUGAAAGUGUAAGCAUUCCACCUCAAGAGUAAUGUGGCAACGCAGGAACUGAAAUCACUAGACCGUUUCUGACAACAGUAGUG
rnacentral:ncRNA from 1 species